rnacentral:tRNA from 1 species
UUCUAGUUAACUCAGUUGGUGGAGUGCUCCAAUGGGAUUGGGGACGUCCCUGGUUGAAUACCAGGACCAUGCG